CAGAAUGGUGCGUCCUCAGGGCUAGGCAUUCCCAGGUAUCUGGUCCUGGUCUCAGCUGUCACUGCUGGCUCUGUGCUUCUCCUGAGUCUGGUCAUCCUCUUCAUCUGGGUCAUCCCCAGGUUAAAGGCAUGGCGUUCAACGAUGAGACCAACACAGGUCAGGACUAGCGACGUCUAUGAAGACAUGCGCACCACCAUCAGACGUGCGCACCACCCUUAGAUGGGUUAUUAGUGAUGUUGCAUGGCAGCCAUCUUUACUUUGGGCACCACCCUCAGACAGGUUGUUACUGAUGUUGCACGGCAGCCAUCUUUACUUUGGGUCCAAACGGAGGCCCAUGUCAGCUGACUAGGAGACAAUGAUGUCAACAUACUGUAAUACAUGAUAUCAACGAAGGACCUUGAAAGAUAUCUUCUCAGGUAGUGUUUAGUAGCAAGGGCUUGCAUCAUUGAUGUACACUUAUGUCAGUCAUUCAACCUCAAGGCAAGCUACCUAUAUACUGUAGCUACUUAAGUAUACACAGCAUUGUAUGUGACUGACAUCACACACUGUAAAUGGUUGUUCAUACAGAGGCUAGGAGAAUGCUUUUUAUGGUCCUUGACCCUGAUGCAGCAGGUAGAACUUGAGUCUUGUAAUUACCGCCACAAUUUAACUUGUGCAUGGAAUUUCAAAUUUUUUCGCCGUACAUUCUAUUUUGCUGUAUAGAUUGACAAUAUAUUUUUUUACCACUUUUAAAUGUUGAAAUGAUUCUCAAUUGUAUAUUUUUGUUUACAUUUACAGUAUAUUUUUGUUUACAUAUUUGAUGGCAUUGGGCCUACACCUAUUUUCCAGGCGCCAGGCAACAUUUACUACUAUUUUAUUUGUAUACUUUUGCAUGCUUUAGUUCCUGUACUGAUCAUGUUGUUCCUGUAAUGAUAGUCUACAUAAGACUAACAGUUCUGCUUCUGUGGUCACUGUGGCAUCUCAUCUUUUUCACAACAGUUUUGUGAUGUUUGCAUUUUAAGAACCCCCAUCAGCAGGGCUCAUCUCUCUACAGGAAAACGAGUCUGUUUUUAAUAUUUACUGGACAGGCUGGGGUUGGUCUGUCCGGUAAUGCUGUCGCCUUCCAGAACUUACUGUAUGGCCCACUAGCUAGCUGGGAUCGAAUCACAGGUCUACCUCUUUACUCAAUACCGUUUUCCCCUUCCAUUCACUCCUGUCUCUCACAUUAAAUCACAAAAAAUACGAAAAGGAGUGGAAACCCACUCUCCUUAAAAAAAUAAAACUGUAUUCUGAAA